rnacentral:lncRNA from 1 species
UAAUAUGCAAGGGAGCUGCAAAAAAAAUUCAAAUUUAAGUACAAACAUAAUUCAUUUAAUGAAAAAACAUCUUGAGCAAACCGAAAUAAUCAGCUGUGCCUGAAGCUCAGUCUCAAUCUGUGCAAACCGAUCGAGCAAUGAGUUGUGCCUGAAGCUCAGUCUCAAUCUGCUGCAACUCUUCCCUCUAUUGCAAAACGAGUGCACAGUUCGCCUCGGAGGCUCAAUAUGGCAUGAAUCAGGACUCCUUGGCUCAGUUUGCUACAAAACGUUUCACAAAAACUAAAGAACAGUUUUUUAAUGGAAAAAAAACUACUCAAUCAUCUAUAAAGCAAGACCAGAUUUCUGUACAGUUCCGUUCAUGUUUCUACUCAGAGAUCCUACUACAGCAGUGAGGAAAUGAUCUUCGCAGACAAUCAUCUAGGAAACCAUUGGUUCAAUAUACAUGGCCUUCUGUUUAAAACAGUAAAAUUCAUAAAGGAACGGAAAAUAAAUAUAUAUAGUUAUGAACUAUAUAUCUGAUCGAAUAAUGACAAGCUUGAAUCUCGUACAUAAGCAACACAUAAGAGCUUUAUAGAACAUACCUUUCUUUAGUGUGUACUUGGGUUGAAUUUGAUUUACCACGGCUAAACUGAACUGUGCAUAUCUACACCACCCAUAUAGCAAAGUAGAAGAAUCUGCCACAUCUAAAUACAUGGACAAGUGGUCCACGUUGUUUCCCUUUGGAAAAAUAAGCACACACCUGCUCCACCCAAAAACUCAUCAUGCAGUUGGCAUAAUAAAAAGAGUAAGUGGCUCGCACAUAAGUUAAACCAAGUGAGUAACCAUUUAUAACCACCAACAACAAAAAUCUCUGAAUAAAGACUGCAACCGAGUAAUUGCUUUGGCCGCUAGCUUGUAUGAUUGCCGGGCCCCCGCAGCAGUCGUAGGGACUUCAUAAGGCUUUACAGGCUCAAAAUCAAUGAUCGAGGUUGUUGAUUUCCACCAACCACACUGGCAACACGCACUGAACUUGAGUAGUCAAAGGAAAUACCAGACCCUUCAAAAUCUGCAUGGAGCUUCGCAUCUACGGUGGUCUGUGCAAUC